UACGUAGGGGGCAAGCGUUGUCCGGAAUCAUUGGGCGUAAAGAGCUCGUAGGCGGUGUGUCGCGUCGGCCGUGAAAACCUGCAGCUUAACUGUGGGCUUGCGGUCGAUACGGGCAUCACUGGAGUUCGGCAGGGGAGACUGGAAUUCCUGGUGUAGCGGUGAAAUGCGCAGAUAUCAGGAGGAACACCGGUGGCGAAGGCGGGUCUCUGGGCAGUAACUGACGCUGAGGAGCGAAAGCGUGGGGAGCGAACAGG
rnacentral:rRNA from 1 species